UUUUGCCCCAGGAUUUCCUUUCCUGGACUUGCAACCUGUUUGCCCAACCCACUCUCCAUCUGGGGGCCACCUGGGGAGGAACAGAAACAAACAAAGGGCACCUUCUCCCUCCUGGAGCACCACUGCCCCCUCCCACUUGCUGCUCUUCUUUAACUGAUCCUUCAGACUCCAGUGCUGAGCGUCUGGGCUGCAGGCAGCCCCCUCUGGAGGCAGAGAGUUGGGUCUCCAAAGAAAGCCUGGAGGUUGAUGAGCAAGGCUGGUUCCUCCUGCCCUGUAGGUGCCUGGAAGUCUGGGGAAAGGAAAUCUUGGGGCAAAAUACCUCUAAAAAUUGAACUCAGCCAAAAGGGGAAAUGAAGUUUAAAAUCUGUUUAUUGCUUACAAACUGCAGUCUGGGGCCUUCUCUCUUUCCUGCUCCAGCAGAAGCAAAACCGGCCCUCCCCCUCACCUCUCAGGUAUAGAUACGCCCUCCAGUUACCCAGGUAAUUAUACAUGGAUAUGAAGAUGAACUUCUCUUCACCCCUGAGGAAUGAUGCAAAUGCACUAAAGCCAUACUUCUUUCCACCUCUGAAUACCUAUUGAUAUGCAGAUAUACUAAAGCCAGGUGAGAUAUUCUGGAAAUAUUACAAUUUUACUCACAGUGCCCCAGUCCUGUGCCUGUGCAUCUAGGAACGUAGAAGCAGGAGUGGGGGUAGGAAGGAGUUGGUAAGGCCUGAGGUGGGAGGGAGAGAAGGAACCAGAGCCCUAGGUUAAUGGAUUGACCCACAUCAUGUUUGCUUUAUGCAUGUUUCUAGAAUCAGGAGGCUGAGAUAUACAGGAUUGUAAUUCUCCCUAAAUCCAAUUUCAGUGGUCCCAGUGACAACAGGUAUAUAGGGGUGGGGAGAAACAAGAAGGACUCUUAAGUCACCAGCAUCCAGAAGUAAGGCCAAGGCCCCUUGUUGGUGCCAUGCAGCCUUGGGCUGGUGCGUUCUGACCCUUGUAAGUGGAUGCAGUUUUAGACAUCCUCUCUCCAGCCCUCCAGCAAGGCCAUUUGUCCAUUCAGUGAAGCAAACCUUGUUACUUUCCAAGCACCUGCUUUUUAAAAAUGGCUCUUUAAAAAAAACCAGAAACAUUACAAAGGUGUGAUUGAUACACAAAAAGC